UCCAAACCUCUCCAAGGCUGAAAGAAGUUGCAGUAAACUUUGUUUGUAGGCUGUACUCCAGUGAAUCAAAUGAGGAAAAUGAUGUUGAUCUUCUUCGAAUGAGGCUAUUCUCACAGAAGACGAGGGAUGUUGAAAGAAUCCCCCCAACAAUGGAUGCUUUGGAUCUACAUCUCAAAAGGAGUGUCUUCCAAGCAAGCAUCUGGACAACAGCCCACAUGUCUAUAAUGCCUGACAACAACCCCACUGACCAUGGGUGGAAAGAAGAGGACAGCAAACUUCUUCCCAUUUGGACUACGAUACCACUUGCCAAAGACGUAUUCCAACUAGAUGUGAAGUGUGGUUGUACAAGUACUUGUACAAGUCGACCUGCCAGUUCUCGGUGCAAGUGCAUGAAGGCGAAGUUAAAGUGCACACGUCUGUGCAAGUGCACAUGUCAGAACUUCUAAGACUGACAUAGAAUAAAUCAAAGAAGUAAAUUAUAGUUAUCAUUGUAGAGUGAAGUUCUCAGAAUAAAUGUUAGCCCUAUGGUCCUCUGUUAAUUUUUUGAAUGCCAGAAAAACUAUUGUUUAUCUUCUUAUUGUUAUUGAUUUACUUUCUUCCAGAUAUAAAGUUCUUUUGUGAAAAUUUCUUGUGAAUAAAAUGAUGGCUUGUUG